rnacentral:rRNA from 1 species
UACAGAGGUCCCAAGCGUUGUUCGGAAUUACUGGGCGUAAAGGGCUGGUAGGCGGCCAACUAAGUCGGAUGUGAAAUCCCCAGGCUUAACCUGGGAACUGCAUCCGAUACUGGUCGGCUUGAAUCCGGGAGAGGGAUGCAGAAUUCCAGGUGUAGCGGUGAAAUGCGUAGAUAUCUGGAGGAAUACCGGUGGCGAAGGCAGCACUCUGGGACGUGACUGACGCUGAGACGCGAAAGCGUGGGGAGCAAACAGG